rnacentral:ncRNA from 1 species
GGAAUCUACUAGGGGCGCGAGUGUUCGCUGAGAAAAGGUCAUCCUUUGUCCCUCAGAACCUGAUCUGGUUAGUACCAGCGGAGGGAAGUAGUUAGUAUCCACA